UCGCGCGCACGCUGCGGUUCCUGUGCGCUGCACACACCCGUCCGACAACUGCUCGCCAUGUGUUGCCAGCU
rnacentral:sRNA from 1 species